AGUCGGGGCUUUGUCUUGACGGUGUGCGGGAAGCUCAUUAGUAUCCUGUACCCCGAAAAUUGGCAGGGCGCUCGCUCCUGCCAUUUCGUUUAUGUGUCGUAAGACAAUCAGUGGAGCUAUAGA
rnacentral:sRNA from 1 species